rnacentral:rRNA from 1 species
GACCGAUAGUGAACCAGUACCGUGAGGGAAAGGCGAAAAGAACCCCGGCGAGGGGAGUGAAAAAGAACCUGAAACCGUGUACGUACAAGCAGUGGGAGCCCCACCACCAAAGCAUUCUCUGGUGUUGAAGGCCCUGCAAAGCAGCAUCGCGGUGGCGGAGCGUCGUUUGCGACGCCCAACACACAAAACAAGCGGUGAGUGCUUUGGGGUGGGGUGACUGCGUACCUUUUGUAUAAUGGGUCAGCGACUUAUAUUCUGUAGCAAGGUUAACCGAAUAGGGGAGCCGGAGGGAAACCGAGUCUUAAUUGGGCG